rnacentral:rRNA from 1 species
UACGGGGGGGGCAAGCGUUGUUCGGAAUUACUGGGCGUAAAGGGCUCGUAGGUGGCCAACUAAGUCAGACGUGAAAUCCCCAGGCUCAACUUGGGAACUGCGUCUGAUACUGGAUGGCUUGAAUCCGGGAGAGGGAUGUGGAAUUCCAGGUGUAGCGGUGAAAUGCGUAGAUAUCUGGAGGAAUACCGGUGGCGAAGGCGGCAUCCUGGACCGGCAUUGACGCUGAGGAGCGAAAGCUAGGGGAGCAAACGGG